AGUGAAUCAAUCCGUACUAAUUGAAAUUUAUUCCUCAAAUUACUAACCAUACUAUAGCGGCAUCAGCACCGAGUGAAGACACACUGAGCGAAGUAUUCCUGUAUAUAUAGUAUACAGGAAUACCUCGCUUAAUAUAUACUAUAUAGUAAGACACUGCAUAAUGCUGUUUCGAUAUAACUCGAUUUUUCAAAUUCUAUAUUUUUUAUUGAUUCACUUUGGCACAGUUUUUCAAACCAUUAUACUCACAUAAAUCCAAAGUCAGAUGAAUUUGUUAUUUUGAUGAUAAAUUCAUCUGACUUCACAGAUGCAAUGUCUUGCUUUAUGCCUUCUUGCAGUGCAUUUGAUAUCAGAGCAAUGCAGCACAUACGAAAGUCUGCUCCUGUCACAGUUCAUAUUUAUGAUCAGUCAUCAAUGUUAUUUUACAAAAGGAACUUGCAAAGGAUUUUCUCAAACAAGUUUAGCCACUAUUAUGGAAAUUAUGGAUCAGUUUAUACAAAAUGAUCUAAAUUUUGAUAGAAGUUCAAAAGCG
rnacentral:lncRNA from 1 species